CUUGGUCAUUUAGAGGAAGUAAAAGUCGUAACAAGGUCUCCGUUGGUGAACCAGCGGAGGGAUCAUUACCGAGUUUACAACUCCCAAACCCCUGUGAACAUACCACUUGUUGCCUCGGCGUAUCAGCCCGCUCCCGGUAAAACGGGACGGCCCGCCAGAGGACCCCUAAACUCUGUUUCUAUAUGUAACUUCUGAGUAAAACCAUAAAUAAAUCAAAACUUUCAACAACGGAUCUCUUGGUUCUGGCAUCGAUGAAGAACGCAGCAAAAUGCGAUAAGUAAUGUGAAUUGCAGAAUUUAGUGAAUCAUCGAAUCUUUGAACGCACAUUGCGCCCGCCAGUAUUCUGGCGGGCAUGCCUGUUCGAGCGUCAUUUCAACCCUCAAGCACAGCUUGGUGUUGGGACUCGCGUUAAUUCGCGUUCCUCAAAUUGAUUGGCGGUCACGUCGAGCUUCCAUAGCGUAGUAGUAAAACCCUCGUUACUGGUAAUCGUCGCGGCCACGCCGUUAAACCCCAACUUCUGAAUGUUGACCUCGGAUCAGGUAGGAAUACCCGCUGAACUUAAGCAUAUCAAUAAGCGGAGGA
rnacentral:rRNA from 1 species